UGUUUACUUUGAACAAAUUAGAGUGCUUAAAGCAGGCUCUUAAAUCAGCCUGAAUAGUGGUGCAUGGAAUAAUGGAACAGGACCUUGGUUCUAUUUUGUUGGUUUCCGGAAUCCAAGGUAAUGAUCAAUAAGGACAGGCGGGGGCAUUCGUAUUGCGGCGUUAGAGGUGAAAUUCUUGGAUCGUCGCAAGACGCACUAGAGCGAAAGCAUUUGCCAAGUAUGUCUUAAUUGAUCAAGAACGAAAGUUAGAGGUUCGAAGGCGAUCAGAUACCGCCCUAGUUCUAACCAUAAACGAUGCCAGCCAGCGAUCCGCCGACGUUCCUCCGAUGACUCGGCGGGGAGCUUCCCCAGGGAAACCAAAAGCUUUUGGGUUCCGGGGGAAGUAUGGUUGCAAAGCUGAAACUUAAAGGAAUUGACGGAAGGGCACCACCAGGAGUGGAGCCUGCGGCUUAAUUUGACUCAACACGGGGUAUCCCACCAGGCCAGGACAUUGGAAGGAUUGACAGAUCGAUAGCUCUUUCUCGAUUCAGUGGGUAGUGGUGCAUGGCCGUUCUUAGUUGGUGGACUGAUUUGUCUGGUUUAUUCCGAUAACGAACGAGACUCUAACCUAUUAACUAGGCGUUGCCGGUAUAAACAGCUACCGGCGAGA
rnacentral:rRNA from 1 species